CUGGGGACCUGGCGCUCCCCGCACCCGGAGACCUCUUGCCCUGCAGAAAAGGACGACACCCACCUCACCCUCGCAGCAACCCCCUUCUACACCCGCCUCCACGGAACCCUGAUCCUGGCUCCCCUUCUCUCCGACCCCAGGGGCUCCUGGGAUCGCGCUCCUCCUUCUCCCCAGCCCUCACCAUCCGGCAGCCUCUUCUGCCUCUGUUCCGCCGCCCUCUGGCUUCACUAUGGAACCCCCUGCGGCCCCUGGCCCCCUGUCUCUCCCCUCUGGGGCCCCUCUAUCCCUCCUCGGCUCCCCAGUCGACACCUUCGUCCCGCCCUGCACUUCUCUCCACUUCUCACAUUUCUCCUCCUGCCCCCUCUCUCUACCCUCCUCUGUCCCAUGACUAUGAAUUUCACAGAGAAGCCUGUUUAUUUAGGUGACACCAAGUGGGAGACACACGAAACCGUUCCCCUAGGCUUCUGAGACCCCAAACCGGAGCAGACCAUGUGUCUGAAUGCAGAAGCUGAGCCCCAGAGCCCAGGGCCCCAGGAGCCUGAGAGAAAGUGCCCUAAGGAGACCCCUGCCAGGUAAGGCCUAUCUCUGAGGGCUCUGUCCUUGCCUGGCGGCCCUCAAAACCUGGCUAACUGCUCACAGGCAAGUUGUGCCCUGGGUUUCCCCCACCAACUCCACACUUCACCCUGGGGGGGAGGGAAGGGUCACCAAAGUCCCUAACCCCUCCUUCAGGUGGGGGGCCUGUGCUCUCCCACCUCUGUCUCUUCAGCCUCCCCCUCCUCCUUGCUGAUCUCACCUGAGUCUCCCCUCCCCCGACAGGCAGGCGGGAGCAAAGGAAGAGAAGGCAGGACAGAUCUCCAGCUCCCUAUCUCCUGUGGGACCCUUUGACCCCUCAGCUGUCACAACUGACCUUUUCCAACUUCUCCUACCAGAGGCCCCACCCCCCACCAUGAAGCCCCUUUCCAGCCUGGAAUGUGAACUCCCCUUUCCGUGCCCCAAAUGUGGGAAGCGCUUCAGCCAGGGGGCCCGGCCUGACCCUGUACCUACACUCCCACACGGGUGACAGGCCCUGCUCCUGCAGCCAGUGUGGCCACAGCUCCUACCUGCCCCAGCCCCCGACACACAUGCCCACCAGUGUAGCAAGGGCUUCUCCCAAGAGCUCUGGCCGACUGCAGCACACCACUGUUCACACAGGCACAUGGCCCUACGUCUGUGUCACCUGUGGAUGGGGUUCAGGAGCCACCCAGCCUCGUCUAUCGUGAGAAGACUCACUUAGUGAGCACGGCUUCCCCUGCCCCGAGUGUGGCAAGCACUUCACCCAGAGUGUCCGCUGAGCCCAGCACCUACGGACGCUCACAGGGGAGAAGCCCUACCUGUGCGGCUAGUGUGGCCAUGGCUUCAGCCAGCACCCCCGGCUCGUGGUCCACCAGUGGGUCCACCGCUUGGUUCCUCUGCUAUCCCUGCCGGUCCACACCUGCUAGGUGUGCUCUUCCCUCGGGUGCGGGCAGUAGCCUGCUGCCACACAGUGCAGCACAUGAGAAGCCCUUCUUCUGCCCCCAGUAUCCCGAGGGCUCUGGCUACUCCAACCUGCAACACCACCAGCAGGACCACGGGGGGAGCGGCCCCACCACUGUGACCAGUGCAGCAAGGGCUUCAGACAGAGCUCAGGGCUGUGUGGCACCAGGGAGUCCACAGGGGCAAGACUGCGAGUGCAGCUUCCGGUCCAGCUCCGGCCUGGCCCAGCACCUGCAGGGCCGCUCUGGGGAAAGGCCCUUCUGCUCUGGCGGCUGUGGCUUCACUCAGAGUCCCCAUCGACCUUGACAACAGGCCAGGGCUGGUGAGGAGCACAGGGAUGAACAUGGAGGGGGGGGACAUCUGGAGGCCAAGUCAAGGCCCCUGUGGGGAGCCAGCCCCCCAACUCCACAGCACUCUAGGGGGGUAGAGGGGCAGUUGGAAUGACUGCCUCUUUUGUGGGAGGCAUAAUGGAGCACAGCUCCCACCACACCCCAGCCAGAGCAACUUUCAGAGCAACCACAUUGGGUGGCCAGAGUGUCUCUGCUGGACCUACUCAAAGCUGGAAUGGCCAGGUCCACCUCACUUCUAGUCCAACGUGCCAGUUCCCCAGAGAGCUCCCGGCCUGGGAAAGAGCUCUCCCUGUUUCUUAGAAAGGACUCUGUACUUCUGAUCUUCUGUCCUCCGUCUGAGAAAUUUAACCAGGAUGUCUGGGUCCUGCUGCCUCAUGGAUGGAUCCGAUUCCCUGGGAUUUUUUUGAAGGGAUCAUUUCAAAGAGAUAACUGAAUCCCCAUAGAGCUCCAUGACAACGCCCACCAUCAAAUCCUAGUCCCCCACUAACCCCUCCAACCCUCUCAUUUCCCCCGAGGCUUCUGGGUGCUUCUUGCCUCUGGUGCUAAAGCUACACCCAGCACACCUGUCUGAUGCUGCCAUCUCCCUAUGCCUACUCCUGGCCUCGCUAGGCCCUGUUUCAGGACCCCAGGGCUUCCUAAAACCUUCAUUGCACUUCAGUCUAGGAAUAAAGCCCAGAUGGAGGCUGCUCUUUCCAGCUGUACAGAGGCCUCCUAUUGAAAGGUGCAAAAGGGCAGAGGCAGGUGUCCAAGGAGAGGGCAGGGAUGUGGAGGAGAUGGAGACCGGAGGAAAAGCCAAGGGAGAUUGGAGGAGAAAGUGGGAGGUUCUGGAAUGUGGAGAAAAGACAGCAGGGCUGUGUGAGACAAGACACACAAGAAACAUCUCAGAAAAACUUAGAAACAAAUGUCUUCAGGUACGAACAUCCCCGGGGAACCACUCAUUUCUUCUUCAGUUGACAAGUUUCCCCCAGUGUUGUGAAGGCACUGAGUUGCCAACACAAUCACUUCAUGUCCUGCCAUUUGCACUUUUUCCACAAAAUUGCUUGCUAACUGUCUUCUUCGUGUGUUGGCAAACUGAUUUUGAACAAAGAGUCAGGAGGGAGUCCCACAGCAGAGUCCCUUCCAGACUGGUGCCCCUGGCCCAGCCUGGCACUGAGGAGAGCACUGUCAUCAUUCACCCUUUUAGAAGGUUCUGCUGGGGGAGUCACUCCCUGGCAACACUCACAGCAAGUUUAUGGUUACUGUUCAUGUUAAAGGAUAAGGUAGACCUCAGCUCUUGUAUUAACUUCCCCCAAAGUAUACUCUUUAGAACUGGGCAGAGUCCUCCCUAGGAGGUAUCAGAGGCUGAUUACUGACACACACACGAAGGAAUUAAAGAACUGGAGGGAUAAAAGGGUCACUGAGAGACUGCUAAUCAGUUUCACCCUUUCAGGAAAUAUGUAUUGAGUCCACCACGUGUCAGGGACUGUUCUGGGACCUGGGUAUUACAAACAGGCAUAUGAUGCAGCCCCCGCCUUCCACCGAUUUGAUCUAGGCGUGUUCAGCAUCUCAAUAUUGAACCCAGCAUCUAGUCCUAUCAAUUGUAUCCACUAUAAUCUCUCUCAAGUAUGUCGUCUCUUUCCCACCCCUCCACCUCCCUUGUCCAGCUACCACCUGGACCAUCUGGUUCUCCUCUGAAUCAUCGUGAUGGCUGGAGAGGCUGGGAAUGGUGUUCUCUGUGAGCAGCACACCUGAGUAACAGAGGCCUCUUUGAAAUGUAAAUCUGAUUGUUUCAGGCACCCUGCUUAAGCCCAUUCAAUGGUUUCCCAUUGAUCUCAGGUUAAAGACCCCAGUCCUUAACCUGGCCUUUAAAGCUCUGCGAGGUGUGGCCGUGCCGGCCUCUCCAGCCUCAUCUCCCACCACUCACUCCUCUCUCCCUCUCGCAGAGCGCUCCACUUCCUGUCGGUGUCCCGCUUCCUCCCGCAGAGAGCGGCGGCCAGGCUGGGCCCUCCUCCUGAGAGGCGCUUUCUUCCAUUUCUCUCUUAGCUCCUCAUUCUUCGGAUCUCAGCUCCUUUACCACAUCCUUAGGGAAGGUACCCUAUCCUUUCCUUCAGGGUCCAAUUCCCUCCUCUGGGCUCCCACACCAGGUGCACCUUUCUCGCAGGCACUUGGCACCGUUCAGUUCCAUAUUUGUUGGUGAUUAUUUGAUUGAUAUCUGUCUCCCCACAGACUGUAAGCUCCCUGAGGGUGGGCACCACGACUGCAGAGGCUCACUCUUGCUAUUCCCUGGACACUCCAUAAAUAUUGAAAUAUUGGUUGAAUGGGUGCACAUGUGCCAGGAUCUGCAGCAGGUGCUAGAUAUUUCAGGAUUUCAGAGAGGGUGGAUUGAGGCCAUAAUUUCCCUCCAGCGGCUGCCGCCCAAGAGUCCCAUAUGCCAUUUCCUUAGCACCAUUCCUUUCUCCAUGUUUCCUGGUGUCAUCCAUCUUCCCAGCUCCGCCUCUCCGGUACCCUCCCCACCUCCACCUUGCCUAGGAGAACCUUUCUCCCUUUAGUUUUUUAGUGCCCCUUCCUGGUUUUGGCUCCUUGGCUUCAGAAGCCAGCAUGGAAUAAUGAGGCAAUAGCACAGGAUUCAGAAACAAAAUAUCUGGAUUCAAUAACAAGGUUAAAAGUAUUAGCGGUGUGACCUUCAGCAGGCUAAUAAACCACUCGGAACCCUAGCUUACAUAAAAUGGGAACAACUUCGAAAUCAAGCAAGUUGGAGGAAUUAGAAAACCUAAAAGCACCGUCAUCUAGAAAUACUGGAUAAAAUAUGAAAAAAAUUAAACAUAUGACUGAAUUCUCAAAAGGAAAGUAAAAUUCCAGGUGCCAGAAACAAAGAGGAAACUGAAAGCUGGAGGCUGAGCUGACUGUGGCCACGGUGACCAGAAGGCGGCUGGAGGGAAUGGGUUCUGUUAACUCAGGGCUUGAGUGCUUCCAGCCACCCGGGGACAGGAGACGAGGUCUUGGUCCUGAAGAGGUGGGGAAAUUAGAUGAAAGGAGCCAAAGCUGACUCAAGAAGAAAUAAAAAACCUGAACAGAUCUAUAAAUUCUAAUAAAUUAAAUGAGAAGCUAAAAAUGUACACGCACACAGCACCUAGAUGGUUUCUAGGUAUAUUAUUCUGCCAACUCUUAAAGGAACUAUUUAUUUAUUUAUUUAAACUACACCAGAUAACGGUACAAGAGGAAAAUCUCACUUAUAAGACUAAAAGUCCUAAAUAAAAUAGUAGCAAACUGAAUCCGGUAAAGUUUGUGCAAGUGUGUGUAUAUGUGUAGGUAAGUGUGUGUGUGUGUGUGGGUGUGACCAAGCAGGGUUAUUCCAGGAAUGUACGGAUGAUCUACUUAAAAAAUCUGCAAAUGAUAUUUACAACACUGACAUAUUAAAGGGAAAAAAACCACGAUUGUCCCAAUAGGUACAGAGAACACAUCGGAUAAAGUUUAACCCUAAUUCAUCAUUUUAAAAAAAUCUAGCUAACUAGGAAUUGAAAAUAACAUCCAAUAUCAAGAUAAGAAUAUUAGUUUUUACUGUUUCUAUUCAACUCGUGUUAGGGGGUCUGAACUGGUACAAUAAGAAAGAGAAGAAAUAAAGCCAUCACUAUACAUAAAUGAUUGAUUGAUUAUUGACAAAGACAAUUUAUGAGAACCCACAAACAGAACCAGUACAGCCCUUUCUGGGGACAAGAUGAAUAUGCAAACACCAAUUUGCCUGUAUCAUAGCAACAAACAAAUGGAAGAUUUUGUUUUAAGAAAGUACCAUUUGUAAUAGCAACAAAAGCUGUAUGAUACUUAGGAAUAAGUAUAACAUAACAAAAUAUGUGCAUAUUUAUGGAGAAAAUUAUAAAAAUUUAUUGGAGAAUGUUUUGAAAAGACACAAAAGAAUGCUCAUGAAGAGGAAAGCUCAGUAUGAAGAUGGUAAUUUUUCUCAAAUCUAUAAAUUCAGUACAAUUCUAAUCAAGACCCCAGCCAGAUGUUUUAUGGAACUUGACAAGCUGUUCUUAAAAUUCUUAUGGAAGAGUAAAUGCCCAAGAAAAGCCGAAACAAAUUUGAAGUGGAGGAAUACCAGAGUACUCGCCUUACCACAUAUCACAGCUUCCCUCUAAAGCUCAAGUGGUAAAGGCAGUGUGGUCCUCCAAUAGUGUAGACCACUGGUACAGGAAAGAACGUGUUGGAAUCAGACCCGCAAAGAUAUGAGAACUUGGCAUAUGACAAAAGUGAUAUAGGUCAGCGGAAAAGGAUGAACUAUUUGUUAAAGUGUCAGGUUAACCAGCUAUCCAAAUGGGAAAAAAAAAUAGAUCCCUACAUUACAACAUACCCCCAAAUAAAUUUCAGAUAGCUUAAAUACGUGAAAAACAAAACUUAAAACUGCUUGAAGAAGAUAUAAGACAAUAUAUUGUGAUAUUAGAGCAGGGAAGGAUUUCUUAAACAAGAUUCAAAAAGCACAAAUAAAGGAAAGAUGCACACAUAUGACUACAUUAAAAAAAAUUUUUUUUAACCUCUAUAAGCCAAGAGACAUCACAACAAAAUAAAAAGACAAGCCACGGACUUGGAGAAUAUUUACAACCUAUAUGACCAGCAAAGGAUUUGUAUCCAGGAUUUAUAAAGAACUCUUGCCAAUCAAUAAGAAAAAGACAAGGCAGGUGAAAAUGAGAAAAAGAUAACAGCAGCAAAGCACCGAAGGGGAAACUCAAAUGGCCAAUAAACAUAUGAAAAGAUGCUCAACUUCACUAGUAAUGAAGAGACGCAAAUUGAAACCAUGAGAUAUGACUUUACACAUGCUAAAUCAGCAAAAUUAAAAUAACUCUGGUAACACCAAGUGUUGACAAAAAUGUGGGACAACAGGAACUCAUACAUUUGAGAUUGAAGUGUAAACAGCUAUAACAAAUUUCAAGAGAAAAUUGUCAAUACUUAAUGCUGAAAAUGCAGCUAAUACCCAGCAAGCUUGCUUCUAGAUGUGUUCCUCAGAAAAACAUUUGUGCCAUGGGCACAAAGAAGCAAGGAUAAGAAUGGGCAUUGCAGUGUCAUUUCAUUGUCAAGAAAAAGUGGAAACAACCUGUCCUUAAUGUAAAGGAGUAGAUAAAAAGGUAUGGUUUUAUUCUUACAAUGGACUGCUGCACAGUAGUUAAAAUAAGUGAAUUAUAGCUAUAUUCUAACAAUAUAAUAUAACGAGUAGAAGAAAGUUGCAAAAAUGGAUGUUGUAUGAUGUUUAUGUAAGUUUAAAAAUAUACAAAACAAUGAUACGUGUUUAGGGAAAAAAUCAGAUUUGUUAAAAAUACAAAAUAUGCAUGGGAAUUAUUUCCAACAACUUCAGAUUAAUUACCACUGCAGAAGGAAAGAAAUGGGAUGGGCUUUAGCUGUCACUGUAGUGCUUUUUUAUUUUUAAAGAAAAGAUAUAAAGCAAAAGAAAUAAUGUAAAAGUAAGGAUUUGCUUAAUUGGGUUGUUGUGAUAAUUAAAUGAGCCAGUAAAUGGAAAAAUGAUAAAUGAAAGUUAGCUGUUCAUCUCUUUGGAAGAGUACAAGGAUGCUGACUCUGGAGGUGGAGCCAUCUGACGUUCCUACCUAUUCUCUCCUCGCCAUGUGAGGUCUCUCUCCUCCUAUUUAUACCUGUUAAUCUUAGGCAAGCUACUUAACUGCUGUGUGCCUCUUUCCUCAUCUAUCAAAUGCCUGUAUUAAAAGUGCCUUUCUCAUAACAUUGUUGUGAGAAUCAAAUAAGUUAAAGUGCUUAGAACAGUCACGAGCUUAGAGCAGGUGCUCCAGGAGACUGCUGCUGUCGUUGAAGAUGAUGGUGUUGUUAGUUAUCACUUCCAGCUGCAUAUAAGUUCCUUUUUAAUCUCAACUUCUAAAAUCUCUUAAGAACCUCACUUGACAAUGAAAAUGCUCAGUAUCUGAGAAGACCCAGACUCUGCCUUCAAGGAGCUGAAUCACAGGUUGCGAACGCACCUUCCUAUAAGGACCUGGCAGGUCCCGUGCAGAGUGCCAGGGUGAGGUGGUAACAGACGGAGAGCACUCUCUCCACCUGGAGACUCAGCAGGUCCUGGUCGGGUGUUGCCAUGUAGGAAUUCAGAGUUAGCAUUGUCACAUUUAAAAAAUUCCUUUUAAGAGAAACUAUAAAUCCCAAUUUUUCUGUAAAACCUCUUCAUUUUUUUAAGUGCUGCAAUUAAUUCAAAAGAAUAAUAAAAGCACAUUAUGAACCAAGUGAAAUAAUUGUGUGGGUUGCCAGUUUCUGAGCUCUAAGAUGGAGGUUGGCACAGAGACAGAUGCAUGAGCGGAUCUUGAAAACACAACGUAAUUAGAGCUAUAAUAAAGGUGGGUAACAGAGGGCAGCAGGAGCGUGGUGGAUUGAAGACGGCAGCAAAUGCUUUGUCACUCCUCACAUCAGGAUGUACAGUCUGUUUCUCCUCCCUUGAAUCUGGGCUGGCCCUAUGACCGGUUUUGACCAAUGGAACGUGGCAGGAGUGAUGUGUAACUGCCGAGAUUAGGUCUUAUAAGAUCUGCAGCUUCCACUUUUUGCCAAUCGGAACAUGCCUUCUUGGAACCCGGUCACCAUGCUAUGAGGAAGCCCAAGCAGUCACAGGGAGAGGCCCACGUGAAGUAGAACCAAGGCCCACAGAGGGCAACACUUGCUGAGCUCCAGCUGGCAGCCAACAUCACUGCUUGCCAAGUGAGCGAGGCUAUUUUGGAAUAUCCAACUGCCCCAGCACACCAGCCAACACUAAAUACAGCAGAACUGCGAGUCAAACUGCAGAAUUGUGAGAAACAAUAAGUUUCUGCUGCUUUAAAGACACUAAAUGUUAGGGCGGCUUGUUGAGCAGCGAUAGAUAACCAAAACAGGCAGCAUUAGAAAAAAGAGGUCUCACUCUACCUAGAAGAGUCAGAGAUGGCUUCAUAGGAUUUGAGAUUUGAGCUAAUUCUUGAAAAAGGCAUACAUUGGCUUUGUGUGUAUGUGUGUGCGUGUGUAGGGAGGAGUGGAUGGUGAGUAGUUAACUUUUAGAUGGAGAGAAAAGCAUGUGCAUAGCGUGGAUAAUGGAAAGUAUGAUGUGAUCAAGCAUCCCCAAACAUUUGCACGGAGUCAGAUGGCAACUAGACUUUCAGGGGUGAACACGAUGCAGUCUAUGCAGAAAUUGAAAUAUAAUGAUGUACACCUGAAAUUUAUGUAAUGUUAUAAACCAAAUCUUACCUCAAUUAAAAAAAAUUGUUUAAAGGAUCCCCAGGUAAGUCAGUUUUGCCAGCUGGAGCAUAAAGCACAAAGAUGGGCAGGAUGGAAGAUAAUAAUCUCUAACAUUUCUUGAGCACUUACUAUGUGCCAGGGACUGUGACAGAUGCUUCAAAAAAUCAUAUAAAUCACUAAUCCUCACAAUAUCACUAUCUCAUUUUAAACAUGAGAAAGUUGUGGCCCAGAGAGGUUAGGUAACUUGCCAAAGAUCACACAGCCAACAGAUGGCAGAGCUGAGAUUUGAAGCAGCCCUGUAAAGCCUGUGCUCUUUCCACUAUGUUGUAGGGGCUACAGCUUCGUAUGCUGAGUCAGAUCUGAAGGGCCUUGUGUGCCAGAUGAACAAGCGGAGAUUUUACCUGAAGUGGGGGCAGCCAUUAAGGAUUUGCGAGUAGGGGAAUGUUCCGCUGUCCACUUCAGAAGCAUCCCUCUGGCUCCUGUGAGGAGCAGGGGCUAAAGAGGAGGUGGCAAAACUAGGAGCAGAGGACCAGUGAGGAGACAUCGCCAAAGGUGUAGGUGAGGACCCCUGAGCAGUGCUGCAUCCCCUCGUCAUGGGGACUGGCACAGCCUGCCUGGGACCAACCAGGUGGCUCAGAUUGGGAGAUAGGUUUGGGGGCAGAACCAGGAUAAAGAUUCUCUCUGAAGCACAUAGAGAACGGAAAGCUGUGUUACUACCCGGCAGGGAAAACUGGGUUCAAAACCUGGAAUCCAAAGUUCCAGAGAUGAGAUUUAGGUUGGGGUCAUAUGGCCAAACAUUGGGAGCUGGAAAGAGGCAAGAUUGAGGGAGCAGGUCAAGACUGAACAGAAGUCCUGAACCACGGCUGCAAACUGCAGGAAGUGUGUGGGCUUCGCCUCUGUGGAGCUGGUGGGGCUGGGGAAAAGCCAGAGGUAGGUGGGCAGCAGCGUUGGAGGGAUUCAGAGACGGUGAUGAGCUGGAAAAUGAAAUUGCUAGGACUUGAUCAUUAGAACCUGGGAGAAGAGCAAGAGUGAACCUGGGGGCCUUCUGAGUUUCUGGCUUGAGCAACUGGGGUCAGUGGUUCCAUCUACUGAAACCAGGAACAACGGAGAAGGAGUAGGUUGGGGAGAAAAGACAAACUCAAAUUUGGGAAUAUUCAAUGCUUGCUUGAUAAGUUUAAAUUGAAACACUAAUUUUUAAGCAACUGGAGACUCAGUUUAAGAGAUUCUGGAGACAGAUAUCUGGGAGCAGAGCUCAAGAAAAAAAUCUAGGCUAGAAAUAUACUAUCAGGAGCCACCAGCAUAGCAGUGGUAGUUGAAGCCAGGGGUAUGAGAGUGCCCGAGAAAAGUGUGCAGACGAGGAGAGAAGGGACAUGGACCAAGUCAUGGAAAGUAGCCUAAGAAAGAUCAGCCAGAGAAGCUGGAGGAGAAAUGAGAGAAAGAGAGAGUGGUUUCACAAAAGUCAACGGAGAAAAAAACCUUCAAAGGGUAGUCAACAGGGGCAAAUGCUCCAGGAAAGAAAAAUGAAAUGAAGAUGGAAAAUAUCCUUCUAUUUGGCAAUGAGAAGAUCCGACUGUGGUUGCCUUAGUAAGAGCAGAUUAGGUGGGAGGGUGGUGGGGGUGGAGCUGACUCCAGAGAAUUGAGGAGGUGUGUUAGUUAUCCGUUGCUGCGUAACGAACCACCCCAAACCUUCAAGGCUUACAACAGCAAGAACCUUCCAUUACCUCCCACAGAGUCUGUGGGUUAGGUAUGGAACAGGGCACAGCUGGGACCACUUGUCUCUGCUCCAUAACGUCUGGGGACCAAGCUGGAAGUGACUCAGUGACCGGGAGCUGCAAUCAUCUGAAGGCUUGUUCUCUCACGUGUCUGGCAGCUGAUUCUGGCAGUUGGUUGAAACCUUAGCUAAGGCUGUUGGCUGCUAACCCUGCGUGACUGGGUUCCGGCGGGGGUGGGGCAGGUGGCGAGCAUCCUGAGGGGAAGAGAUAGAAUUCUGACAUUUGAGGGGCCCAGAACAAGAAUACAAAUAAAGAAUAUGAAGUUGGAUGGAUUUAAUCUGCCUGUUCAGGUUGUAGAUUUGAUGAAAAUGAGCCAGAAAAUUAUUUUAUCAAAUCUACA